UUAAUUUGUUUUAUUUAUUAUAUGACACUCUUUGGCGAUAGAAUAUUGUUAUAAUGUGUGCAAUGAAUAUCUGCGAGUCUAAUGCAGAUCAAGUCGGGUCUAACAGUACUCUAAGUGAAUGUGAUACUCAUUUAAAUGAAUUUCUAGUCAUUGAAUGUCAACCAAAGUUAAUUGAUAUGAUUUGUGACAACAAUAUUAAUGCAAAUUUAGACCAAAUUUUCAACUUUGAUAUAAAUACAGUGAUAUCAACUGUCAA